ACGGAGGGAGCGAGCGUUAUCCGGAUUCAUUGGGCGUAAAGCGCGCGUAGGCGGCCCGUCAAGCGGGGUUUCAAAUCCAGGGGCUCAACCUCUGGCCGGACCCCGAACUGGCGGGCUCGAGUGCGGUAGAGGAAGGUGGAAUUCCCAGUGUAGCGGUGAAAUGCGCAGAUAUUGGGAAGAACACCGAUGGCGAAGGCAGCCUUCUGGGCCGCCACUGACGCUGAGGCGCGAAAGCUAGGGGAGCGAACAG
rnacentral:rRNA from 1 species